rnacentral:rRNA from 1 species
UACGGAGGGUGCAAGCGUUGUUCGGAAUUACUGGGCGUAAAGCGCGUGCAGGCGGUUGAGCAAGUCAGAUGUGAAAGCCUUCCGCUUAACGGAAGAAGUGCAUUUGAAACUACUCGGCUUGAGUUCGGGAGAGGAGAGUGGAAUUCCCGGUGUAGAGGUGAAAUUCGUAGAUAUCGGGAGGAACACCGGUGGCGAAGGCGGCUCUCUGGCCCGAUACUGACGCUGAGACGCGAAAGCGUGGGGAGCAAACAGG